CGAGUGGCGGACGGGUGAGUAAUGUCUGGGAAACUGCCCGAUGGAGGGGGAUAACUACUGGAAACGGUAGCUAAUACCGCAUAACGUCGCAAGACCAAAGAGGGGGACCUUCGGGCCUCUUGCCAUCGGAUGUGCCCAGAUGGGAUUAGCUAGUAGGUGGGGUAAAGGCUCACCUAGGCGACGAUCCCUAGCUGGUCUGAGAGGACGACCAGCCACACUGGAACUGAGACACGGUCCAG
rnacentral:rRNA from 1 species